AUUAUAGAGAACUUCGUCUCCCUGGGGGCGAUUCCCCACCGUAUGUUAUUAAACCUUUGUUGCUUUGGCCAGUCCCUUCGGCCGGGUUUUCUUGCUGGUGCGCGUUCGCCAAAGGACCACAAACUCUGUUUAUUGAGGUCGUCUGAGUACUAUAUAAUAGUUUAAAACUUUCAACAACCGAGCUCUUGGUUCUGGCAUCGAUGAAUGCCGCAACGAAAUGCAAUAAGUAAAGUGAAUUAAUCAAUUCACCUUUUCACCCAAUCUUUGCCCCAUGAUAUUCCCCCGGGCAUGUCCGUGGGGCAUGCCUGUUCGAGCUUCAAUACAACACUCAAGCUCAGCUUGGUAUUGGACCAGCAAGCCUCACAACGAACAUGGAGAGCUCCUUGGAAAUUCAUAGCUCUACAAGUUGCUAUCAUCCUAACUACGGGAAAAUUCCGCCUGCUUGCCGUAGUUCUCUGGUUUAUCCUCUGACCUCGGACCUUUUUGGAUUUUUUCUGAUUUACCUCAUAUCAGUGAAAGGGAUGAAACCUGAACUUAAUCAUAUCAAUAACC
rnacentral:sRNA from 1 species